rnacentral:pre_miRNA from 3 species
AUAUGAAUCAUCAGGGAUCUUAUUAAAAUGCAGAUUCUGGUCCACUAAGUCUGGGACUGGGGCCUGAGAUUCUGCAUUCCUAACAAGUUUCCAGGUGAUGGUGAU